rnacentral:rRNA from 1 species
CACGCCGCGUGAGUGAUGAAGGUUUUCGGAUCGUAAAGCUCUGUUGUUAGGGAAGAACAAGUACCGUUCGAAUAGGGCGGUACCUUGACGGUACCUAACCAGAAAGCCACGGCUAACUACGUGCCAGCAGCCGCGGUAAUACGUAGGUGGCAAGCGUUGUCCGGAAUUAUUGGGCGUAAAGGGCUCGCAGGCGGUUUCUUAAGUCUGAUGUGAAAGCCCCCGGCUCAACCGGGGAGGGUCAUUGGAAACUGGGGAACUUGAGUGCAGAAGAGGAGAGUGGAAUUCCACGUGUAGCGGUGAAAUGCGUAGAGAUGUGGAGGAACACCAGUGGCGAAGGCGACUCUCUGGUCUGUAACUGACGCUGAGGAGCGAAAGCGUGGGGAGCGAACAGGAUUAGAUACCCUGGUAGUCCACGCCGUAAACGAUGAGUGCUAAGUGUUAGGGGGUUUCCGCCCCUUAGUGCCGCAGCUAACGCAUUAAGCACUCCGCCCUGGGGAGA